CCUACGGGAGGCAGCAGUGAGGAAUAUUGGUCAAUGGACGAGAGUCUGAACCAGCCAAGUCGCGUGAAGGAUGACUGCCCUAUGGGUUGUAAACUUCUUUUAUAAAGGAAUAAAACGAGGCACGUGUGCCUUUUUGCAAGUACUUUAUGAAUAAGGAUCGGCUAACUCCGUGCCAACAGCCGCGGUAAUACGGAGGAUCCGAGCGUUAUCCGGAUUUAUUGGGUUUAAAGGGGGCGUAGAUGGGUUGUUAAGUCAGUUGUGAAAGUUUGCGGCUCAACCGCAAGAUUGCAAUUGAUACUGGCAGUCUUGAGUACAGUUGAGGUAGGCGGAAUUCGUGGUGUAGCAGUGAAAUGCUUAGAUAUCACGAAGAACCCCGAUUGCGAAGGCAGCUUACUAAACUGUGACUGACAUUGAGGCUCGAAAGUGUGGGUAUCGAACAGGAUUAGAUACCCCUGUAGUC
rnacentral:rRNA from 1 species